rnacentral:tRNA from 2 species
CGGGCCGUAGCGCAGUCUGGGAGCGCGCUUGCAUGGGGUGCAAGAGGUCCCGAGUUCGAUCCUCGGCGGCCCGACCA